UAACACGUGGGUAACCUGCCCAUAAGACUGGGAUAACUCCGGGAAACCGGGGCUAAUACCGGAUAACAUUUUGAACUGCAUGGUUCGAAAUUGAAAGGCGGCUUCGGCUGUCACUUAUGGAUGGACCCGCGUCGCAUUAGCUAGUUGGUGAGGUAACGGCUCACCAAGGCAACGAUGCGUAGCCGACCUGAGAGGGUGAUCGGCCACACUGGGACUGAGACACGGCCCAGACUCCUACGGGAGGCAGCAGUAGGGAAUCUUCCGCAAUGGACGAAAGUCUGACGGAGCAACGCCGCGUGAGUGAUGAAGGCUUUCGGGUCGUAAAACUCUGUUGUUAGGGAAGAACAAGUGCUAGUUGAAUAAGCUGGCACCUUGACGGUACCUAACCAGAAAGCCACGGCUAACUACGUGCCAGCAGCCGCGGUAAUACGUAGGUGGCAAGCGUUAUCCGGAAUUAUUGGGCGUAAAGCGCGCGCAGGUGGUUUCUUAAGUCUGAUGUGAAAGCCCACGGCUCAACCGUGGAGGGUCAUUGGAAACUGGGAGACUUGAGUGCAGAAGAGGAAAGUGGAAUUCCAUGUGUAGCGGUGAAAUGCGUAGAGAUAUGGAGGAACACCAGUGGCGAAGGCGACUUUCUGGUCUGUAACUGACACUGAGGCGCGAAAGCGUGGGGAG
rnacentral:rRNA from 1 species